rnacentral:rRNA from 1 species
ACGGGGGAAAGAUUUAUCGGGGAAGGAUUGGCCCGCGUUGGAUUAGCUAGUUGGUGGGGUAAAGGCCUACCAAGGCGACGAUCCAUAGCUGGUCUGAGAGGAUGAUCAGCCACAUUGGGACUGAGACACGGCCCAAACUCCUACGGGAGGCAGCAGUGGGGAAUAUUGGACAAUGGGCGCAAGCCUGAUCCAGCCAUGCCGCGUGAGUGAUGAAGGCCUUAGGGUUGUAAAGCUCUUUCACCGAUGAAGAUAAUGACGGUAGUCGGAGAAGAAGCCCCGGCUAACUUCGUGCCAGCAGCCGCGGUAAUACGAAGGGGGCUAGCGUUGUUCGGAAUUACUGGGCGUAAAGCGCACGUAGGCGGAUAUUUAAGUCAGGGGUGAAAUCCCGCAGCUCAACUGCGGAACUGCCUUUGAUACUGGGUAUCUUGAGUAUGGAAGAGGUAAGUGGAAUUCCGAGUGUAGAGGUGAAAUUCGUAGAUAUUCGGAGGAACACCAGUGGCGAAGGCGGCUUAC